UUCUGGCUCAGGAUGAACGCUAGCUACAGGCUUAACACAUGCAAGUCGAGGGGCAGCAUUGGAGUAGCAAUACUCAGAUGGCGACCGGCGCACGGGUGAGUAACACGUAUCCAACCUGCCGCUUACUCGGGGAUAGCCUUUCGAAAGAAAGAUUAAUACCCGAUGGUAUAAAGAGUUCGCAUGUUCUCUUUAUUAAAGAAUUUCGGUAAGCGAUGGGGAUGCGUUCCAUUAGAUAGUUGGCGGGGUAACGGCCCACCAAGUCUACGAUGGAUAGGGGUUCUGAGAGGAAGGUCCCCCACAUUGGAACUGAGACACGGUCCAAACUCCUACGGGAGGCAGCAGUGAGGAAUAUUGGUCAAUGGACGAGAGUCUGAACCAGCCAAGUAGCGUGAAGGAUGACUGCCCUAUGGGUUGUAAACUUCUUUUAUAAGGGAAUAAAGUGAGGGACGUGUCCCUCUUUGUAUGUACCUUAUGAAUAAGGAUCGGCUAACUCCGUGCCAGCAGCAGC
rnacentral:rRNA from 1 species